GCCAGUGUGGCAUCCUGGUUUGAGUGUUAGACCACAACUCUGGAGACCAGGGUUCGAUUCCCAGCUCAGCCA